CAUGAGUUCUCCUAUUUUUCUCUAUUUUGCCAAUUAGUGGCCGAAAAAAAGGAGAGGAUGAAAACUCACCAAAUCUUAGUGGAAUCCGAUGUCAAUGUGGGGAAGUAGGUGGAAGGGCUGGAUCUAGCCUCCUUCCCUUCUCCUCUUCUCCCAACCUCUCAUUUUCUCUUUCUCUCUCCCACUUCUCUUUUUCGGUCUAAAGUGGACCAGCAGCAGCCAUGAUAGAAUAAAAGAGACUGCUCUAUCUCUUGUUCUUUUGAAAUGGAGCAGACUAGUUGAC
rnacentral:lncRNA from 1 species